rnacentral:rRNA from 1 species
GACGAACGCUGGCGGCGCGCCUAACACAUGCAAGUCGAACGAGCGAGAGGAGGUUUACUUUCUCAAGCGAGUGGCGAACGGGUGAGUAACGCGUGAGGAACCUGCCUCAAAGAGGGGGACAACAGUUGGAAACGACUGCUAAUACCGCAUAAGCCCACGACCCGGCAUCGGGUAGAGGGAAAAGGAGCAAUCCGCUUUGAGAUAGCCUCGCGUCCGAUUAGCUAGUUGGUGAGGUAAUGGCCCACCAAGGCGACGAUCGGUAGCCGGACUGAGAGGUUGAACGGCCACAUUGGGACUGAGACACGGCCCAGACUCCUACGGGAGGCAGCAGUGGGGAAUAUUGCACAAUGGGGGAAACCCUGAUGCAGCGACGCCGCGUGGAGGAAGAAGGUCUUCGGAUUGUAAACUCCUGUUGUUGAGGAAGAUAAUGACGGUACUCAACAAGGAAGUGACGGCUAACUACGUG